UCUCUCUCUCUCUCUCUCUGCGCGACUCUGCCUCUCCGCUACUCCUCCAGUCGUCUUCAGCCUCCAGCCUACAGCCACGGGUUCUCUCUCUGCGGCAAAGACCCUCUCCGUUUCAGCCUCUCUCACUGUUUCUUCUCUCUGACUGGCAAGGAGCCAACCCAUAUCGUCAAAGGGAUUGAAGGAGAUUGGAAAGCAGGGAUUGAAGAAGGAGAUUGGGGCACCAAGCCGUCGACGGGGAGGAGAAGGAGAUUGGAAAGCAGGGAUUGAAGAAGAAACUCCUAAAGGAAGGUGAAGGCUGGGAUAUACCCCGAAUACAUCACACCGGGAAUUUGGUGGACGGGACACAGUUCGAUUCGAGGGGGGACAUGGAUCAGUUCACUCAGACAAGGUACUAAAGUAUUUGGGUAAGUAGACAUCACGGGAAUGAUUGAGACUAGAGUGGUCAGCUGGUGACUUCCACCAAGGAGGUGCAUAUUACGUGUAAAGAUGCGGUUGUUUCCGGUUUAUCAGAUGGAGACCAAAGAGGCUAUUUCCGUUUACUAGAGGGAGUCCUGAAAGGUACUGACUUGUGAGAAUUGUCUAGAUUGUGAUGGAGGGUCGUAAGUAUUUAGAUCUGGUUUGUAUUGUAAAGGUUUCUUUAAAUCUCUCAUCCCAAAGGAUAAGUACAAGUAGGAAUUCAAUAGUUUUUUGUUUUUAUAAUUACCAUACGGCUUCAAGUUAAGCAGAGAGCACAUUUUUCUGUUUCGUU
rnacentral:lncRNA from 1 species